CCCUACGGGGUGCAGCAGUCGAGAAACUUUUGCAAUGCACGAAAGUGUGACAAAGCAAGCCAGAGUGUUUUUCCGUAUUGGAGAAACUUUUGUGAGAUGUAAAAAGUCUCACGAAUAAGGACUGGGCAAGACUAGUGCCAGCCGCCGCGGUAAUACUAGCGGUCCAAGUCGCAAUCACGUUUAUUGGGUCUAAAACAUCCGUAGCUUGUUAUGUAAGUCUCUUGUGAAAUCCUAUGUCUUAAGCAUAGAAGUGCGAGAGAUACUGCAUAGCUAGAGACCGGGAGAGGCAAGGAGUACGGACAGGGUAUCGGUAAAAUGAGUUGAUCCUGUUUGGACUAACGAUAGCGAAGGCACCUUGCUAGAACGGAUCUGACAGUGAGGGAUGAAGGCUAGGGGCGCAAAACGGAUUAGAUACCCGUGUAGUCCUAGCAGUAAACACUGCACACUAAACAUUGGGACCUCUUCGAGAGGUUUCAGUGCUGUAGGGAAGCCGUAGAGUGUGCUACCUGGGAAGUAUAGGCGCAAGCCCGAAACUUAAAGGAAUUGGGCGGGGGAGGUACUACAACGAGUGACGCGUGCGGCUCAAUUAGAUUCCACACCGUGAACCUCACCAGGACCGACAGCACGAUGAACGUCAGUCUAAAGGGCUUACCUGACACGCUGAGAGGAGUGCAUGGC
rnacentral:rRNA from 1 species